rnacentral:lncRNA from 1 species
AUUUGGAUUGAAUAAUCUACCCUCGAAAACUGUUGCGAUCCCCUACACUUGUGAGUUACCAGUAACAUCUCUCAUCUCUCAAAUAUGGUGGACACUCUCUCUGCUGGUUGUAUAUAUGGUGGACAUUCUCUCACGGGUAUUUCUACUUUCGGUGAUGGUCAAGCUGGGCGAGUCCAUUGUGCGUGACAUUGAUACCAUUCCUCUGAAAACAUCCCUCAUGUGUCAAAUAUGGUGGACACUCGCUCAAUAUAAAAACUACUAAAUAAAAACUAAUACAAAAACUACUACAUAGAACUAAAACUACUACACACAACUAA